CGAAGCUUGUUUAGACAUCGUAGUGCAUCCACGUUCAAGGCCAGGUUGGAUGGGGUCCUGGGCAGCCUAAUCUGGAUACAUAAGGGGCAUUUAGAAAUUGAGCAAAUGAAGAUUUAAGUGAUUUGCUGUUGCCAUUGGAUAUUGCAACAGGUGCAGGAAUGAGAAGUGAGAGCCUAGGAUACAUCAGGGCAGCGUGCAGCAGUUGGCUGUUUGGUGAAUGGCACACAGAUCCACAGAUGGAUGUGCCUCCUCUGCUUGAUGCAUGCUUCUCUGUGUGUUCUACUUAAGAUGAAAUACUGUGGGAGGUCACCCUGUCCAAUUUCAGGAAGGAAGUGUAGAUAUGUUGAGAAUGCAGCCUUGACCACGUUGACCUGGGGAAAUGGAAGGUUUGCUGGGGAGUUAUAAUUGUUGAGGUGUAUGAAUUAAUGCAUCUGGAACUAUUCAGUAUUUUUCCUCCAG
ensembl:lncRNA